rnacentral:rRNA from 1 species
UACGUAGGUGGCGAGCGUUGUCCGGAUUUACUGGGCGUAAAGGGAGCGUAGGCGGACUUUUAAGUGAGAUGUGAAAUACUCGGGCUCAACCUGAGUGCUGCGUUUCAAACUGGAAGUCUAGAGUGCAGGAGAGGAGAAUGGAAUUCCUAGUGUAGCGGUGAAAUGCGUAGAGAUUAGGAAGAACACCAGUGGCGAAGGCGAUUCUCUGGACUGUAACUGACGCUGAGGCUCGAAAGCGUGGGGAGCAAACAGG